rnacentral:rRNA from 1 species
CCUACGGGGUGCUGCAGUCGAGAAUCAUUCACAAUGGGGGAAACCCUGAUGGUGCGACGCCGCGUGGGGGAAUGAAGGUCUUCGGAUUGUAAACCCCUGUCAUGUGGGAGCAAAUUAAAAAGAUAGUACCACAAGAGGAAGAGACGGCUAACUCUGUGCCAGCAGCCGCGGUAAUACAGAGGUCUCAAGCGUUGUUCGGAAUCACUGGGCGUAAAGCGUGCGUAGGCUGUUUCGUGAGUCGUGUGUGAAAGGCGCGGGCUCAACCCGCGGACGGCACAUGAUACUGCGAGACUAGAGUAAGGGAGGGGGAACCGGAAUUCUCGGUGUGGCAGUGAAAUGCGUAGAUAUCGAGAGGAACACUCGUGGCGAAGGCGGGUUCCUGGACAUUAACUGACGCUGAGGCACGAAGGCCAGGGGAGCGAAAGGGAUUAGAUACCCUGGUAGUC